GACGAAGGUGGCGAGCGUUAAUCGGAAUUACUGGGCGUAAAGCGUGCGUAGACGGUAGCGUAAGUCAGAUGUGAAAGCCCCGGGCUCAACCUGGGAACUGCAUUUGAGACUGCUCUGCUCGGGUGCGGAAGAGGGAAGCGGAAUUUCCGGUGUAGCGGUGAAAUGCGUAGAUAUCGGAAGGAACACCAGUGGCGAAAGCGGCUUCCUGGUCCGACACCGACGUUCAGGCACGAAAGCGUGGGGAGCAAACAGG
rnacentral:rRNA from 1 species